GGGGGAAUGGGCUAGCCUGGCAAUGCUACCAGCCUGGGGGGCUGGUGACCCGAGUUCGAAUCUCGGUUCCCCCA
rnacentral:tRNA from 1 species